UUUUCUAUAUGGAAUUAUACAAAAAUUGAUAAUAAUUAACAUUAUUUCAAAGUAAAUUUUGAGACUGAAAGAAAUAACUUAUGUAACAAGUUGUCAUGGUUAGAACUAAGACAGUGCAAACGGUUGGUUUGGCCGAUUAGAAGAGGAGUAGCGUGGCAAAGCCAGAGAAGAGACUUCAGUUUUCCAACAUAAUCCGCAGUUGAUGAACCUGACCUUGAAUUUGUUCUACAUUUGCUUCUCCCUCAAUCAUUUAAUUUUACCUCUGCAUACAGUAAUUCUCUAACUAUGAAUCAGUAAAAUGUUUACAUGCAGCUAAAGUCAAUUUUCACAACUCAUCACCUGAUCGAAACUAAUUAAUUCUACAAUGCUUAACAUGGAUAUAUAUAUAUCUAUAUAUAUAUAUAUAUAUAUAUAUAUAUACUACAUGUACUCUCUCAUUCUUUACUCGAAACCAUCACAGGGCUUCAAAUAGAAGAAAAGGAAUUCCAAAUAUCCAUUAAAUUGUUUAUAAGAACAAAUGUUCAUGACAUAAGUAGUAAAUAAAGUAAAAUGAAAAAGUCUUUACCCCGAAAACUAAUUGAAGAACUGAAGGAAGUACCAAAGGCAGAAGAUUUGGGAUUUCGAAAUUUGGGUUUCAAAUUUGAGGGUUUAGCCUUUUAGGUUUCAGAUAGGGAAAUGGAAAAAAACACUACAAAGCAUUGAAGGAAGAAUCGAAGGUAGAACUGCAAUGGCGGCUCACGGUUGUUGGAGGAAGAAUCGAAGAAGGGAAGGAGGUCUAGACUCUAGACUCUAGUGUCGACCGCGAAGAAUCGAAGAAUAGAA
rnacentral:lncRNA from 1 species